rnacentral:rRNA from 1 species
UGAUGUAAUACCUUGCGAGGAUUGCCGGACCUGAAGAAUGAACCCCGGGUAACUUCCUGGCCACCGCCGGGGGAAUACCUAAGGUGGAAACGUUUUAAUAAAAGAACUGGGCCUUAAGCGUGCGCAGGGGGGUUUGUUAGACCGAUGUGAAAUCCCCGGGCUCAACCUGGGAACUGCCUUUGUGACUGCAAGGCUUGAGUGCGGCAGAGGGGGAUGGAAUUCCGCGUGUAGCAGUGAAAUGCGUAGAUAUGCGGAGGAACACCGAUGGCGAAGGCAAUCCCCUGGGCCUGCACUGACGCUCAUGCACGAAAGCGUGGG